CUCUGUACAUUCGAAUUUCCAGCCAUCGGCCGCGGUCGAUUCAUAACAACUUGCCUUACCCCGAUAUCUUUUCUAUUGUUGGCGAAGCAACUACGAGAUACUGAUAAGAUAUUUAUCUUCAAGUUAGACUGUCGAAAUUAGAGUAAGUCGCGGUGUGCUCGCAAUCUUUAUAAGAAGGCGAUAAAUUAGUGGAGGCCAUUCAAUCUUUAGAUUUCAAUCGAUAAAGACAUCAGGAACAAUGCGUCUACAGGUUCUAUUUAUCCUUCUUCUGUGCUUCCUGCAGAUCUAUGCAGGCGUUAUCAAAAAGCACGAUGAGCCCGGUACCAAGAAGGCUCCUCGCCGGACGAAUAAAAAGUUUUCUGGAUUUGUAGCUUCACGAGGAUAGUAGUGGAUUUUAGUGUUGAUGACAGUGUGUGUUCCCAGCAAGGAUUCGUGUUCUUAGACAGGAUCGUGAACAAUGCAACGUUGGAUCUCAGUGAAGCAACUUUAGUAUUUCUGCAAGGAUGACUAUGAAACCCAAGGGACUAUCUCAUGAAAGAUCCUUUCAUAAUAUAUUUCCAUAGAAUCUGUGAUAUAUUGUUUAGUUAAUUAUUUAUUGUCGGUGAUAAGUGAGAAAAGCAUGGACCAUUUAAUAUAUUCCAAUCAGCGUGAAACAGCAGUUUCCGUUGAGCUCAAUAAGAAUUUAAUUUAUUAACUAUUUAUUUGUAUGUUAUGCGAUAGAAGGACAUGAACAAUUGUGAAAGUAUUAUUUAUCGAAAUAAAUCAUAAAAUAGUUUGCCAUA